rnacentral:rRNA from 1 species
GAUGAACGCUGGCGGCGUGCCUAAUACAUGCAAGUCGAGCGAACGGACGAGAAGCUUGCUUCUCUGAUGUUAGCGGCGGACGGGUGAGUAACACGUGGAUAACCUACCUAUAAGACUGGGAUAACUUCGGGAAACCGGAGCUAAUACCGGAUAAUAUUUUGAACCGCAUGGUUCAAAAGUGAAAGACGGUCUUGCUGUCACUUAUAGAUGGAUCCGCGCUGCAUUAGCUAGUUGGUAAGGUAACGGCUUACCAAGGCAACGAUGCAUAGCCGACCUGAGAGGGUGAUCGGCCACACUGGAACUGAGACACGGUCCAGACUCCUACGGGAGGCAGCAGUAGGGAAUCUUCCGCAAUGGGCGAAAGCCUGACGGAGCAACGCCGCGUGAGUGAUGAAGGUCUUCGGGUCGUAAAACUCUGUUAUUAGGGAAGAACAUAUGUGUAAGUAACUGUGCACAUCUUGACGGUACCUAAUCAGAAAGCCACGGCUAACUACGUGCCAGCAGCCGCGGUAAUACGUAGGUGGCAAGCGUUAUCCGGAAUUAUUGGGCGUAAAGCGCGCGUAGGCGGUUUUUUAAGUCUGAUGUGAAAGCCCACGGCUCAACCCGUGGAGGGUCAUUGGAAACUGGAAAACUUGAGUGCAGAAGAGGAAAGUGGAAUUCCAUGUGUAGCGGUGAAAUGCGCAGAGAUAUGGAGGAACACCAGUGGCGAAGGCGACUUUCUGGUCUGUAACUGGCGCUGAUGUGCGAAAGCGUGGGGAUCAAACAGGAUUAGAUACCCUGGUAGUCCACGCCGUAAACGAUGAGUGCUAAGUGUUAGGGGGUUUCCGCCCCUUAGUGCUGCAGCUAACGCAUUAAGCACUCCGCCUGGGGAGUACGACCGCAAGGUUGAAACUCAAAGGAAUUGACGGGGACCCGCACAAGCGGCGGAGCAUGUGGUUUAAUUCGAAGCAACGCGAAGAACCUUACCAAAUCUUGACAUCCUUUGACAACUCUAGAGAUAGAGCUUUCCCCUUCGGGGGACAAAGUGACAGGUGGUGCAUGGUUGUCGUCAGCUCGUGUCGUGAGAUGUUGGGUUAAGUCCCGCAACGAGCGCAACCCUUAAGCUUAGUUGCCAUCAUUAAGUUGGGCACUCUAAGUUGACUGCCGGUGACAAACCGGAGGAAGGUGGGGAUGACGUCAAAUCAUCAUGCCCCUUAUGAUUUGGGCUACACACGUGCUACAAUGGACAAUACAAAGGGCAGCGAAACCGUGAGGUCAAGCAAAUCCCAUAAAUUUGUUCUCAGUUCGGAUUGUAGUCUGCAACUCGACUACAUGAAGCUGGAAUCGCUAGUAAUCGUAGAUCAGCAUGCUACGGUGAAUACGUUCCCGGGUCU